AAGGGUGAGGAACGCGUGAGCAACCUGCCCCCAAGUUGGGAAUAACAGUUGGAGACGACUGCUAAUACCGAAUGUGGCUUUUGGACCGCAUGGUUUGAUGGCUAAAGAUUUAUUGCUUGGGGAUGGGCUCGCGUCCCAUUAGCUAGUUGGUGAGGUAACGGCUCACCAAGGCGAUGAUGGGUAGCUGGUCUGAGAGGAUGGUCAGCCACACUGGGACUGAGACACUGCCCAGACUCCUACGGGAGGCUGCAGUCGAGAAUCUUGGGCAAUGCGACCGAAAGCGUGACCCAGCAAUGCCGCGUGCGGGAUGAAGGUCUUCGGAUUGUAAACCGCUGUCACCCGGGACGAAAGUUGACUGUACCGGGGGAGGAAGCCACGGCUAACUACGUGCCAGCCGCCGC
rnacentral:rRNA from 1 species